rnacentral:rRNA from 1 species
GACGAACGCUGGCGGCGUGCUUAACACAUGCAAGUCGAACGAUGAUGCUCCAGCUUGCUGGGGUGGAUUAGUGGCGAACGGGUGAGUAACACGUGAGUAACCUGCCCCCUUCUUCGGGAUAAGCUUGGGAAACUGGGUCUAAUACUGGAUAUUCUGCAAUUGUCGCAUGGGGGUUGUGGGAAAGAUUUUUUGGUGGGGGAUGGGCUCGCGGCCUAUCAGCUUGUUGGUGGGGUGAUGGCCUACCAAGGCGUCGACGGGUAGCCGGCCUGAGAGGGUGACCGGCCACGCUGGGACUGAGAUACGGCCCAGACUCCUACGGGAGGCAGCAGUGGGGAAUAUUGCACAAUGGGCGCAAGCUUGAUGCAGCGACGCCGCGUGAGGGAUGACGGCUUUCGGGUUGUAAACCUCUUUCGAUGGGGAACAAGGCCAUAUUUUUGUGUGGUUGAGGGUACCUGUAUAAGAAGCGCCGGCUAACUACGUG